GCGCCAAGCUACUAGGUACUCUCUCAGUCUCUCUCCCUCUCUCUCUCUCUCUCGAUUCUGCUAAAUCUACAGUCUCAAAUUGUGGUAUGGAAGCUUCAAAAUCUACGACAGCGGCGACGUCACCAUCAUCCACAGAUCUUCAACUUCUUCCUCCUCCUCCAGAACUCGAUUCGCAGCUCUCUUCUCUCAUCUAUGGUUUGUCACAGCAAGUGCAAGCAGCAAUGGAGAACAUGCUUAAGAUGAUAAAUGAAGUUGAUCAAAAUUCUGCUGAAGUAAUGGAAGAGAUAGAGAAGUGCAAGGACUCUGCUCUUGAGAAGAAGAAACUCUUAGAGGAAGAGAAGGAACACUUUGAGAAAGCUGCUUAUACCGUUUUAGAUAUGCUCAACAACAGGGAUAGCAGAUAAAAGCUGAUGUUGUUUAAAUUCCAUAAGGACAGCAAUCUAUUUUUGCUUGGAUUUAAUGCUGCAUCAUCUCACUGAUACUGUAGAAGUUGUCACCACAUAUAAUCUUGUAUCCUUCAAUCCAAGAGAUGGUUACUCUUUCAUCAGGUAAGCGACAAAAAAGGUAAGGAUGAUAUCAGCUGCAAAGAAGGCAUCAACAGUCAGAUCAACGGGCAUGAGUGACCCAGUUGCUACCUUUUUGAAUGCUAGCUCAAAUGGAGAUGCCCAUGCAGAGUAUAUGACUAGUAUCACUAGGAACGUCUGCCACCACCUGCAAUGAAACUAAGUUGUGGUUACACUAAGUCAAGAGAAGCCAGAUGGAUGGACCAGUGGAAUGGAAAUAAUUGUGUUGGGUCACUUCUGGUCCAAAUCAGGUAAGGUAGGUGUUCAUCUUGGUUGUUGAUUUUCAUUGUCACAAUAGGUGUGCACGACUCUGUCACACUAUAAUGGAUUAUUGAUGGAUCCGUCUAUCAUGGAGGUCAAAGUCAAACAUUCAUGGACAGGUAAAUUUCUUGUUGUCCUCCUUAUUUUAUUUAUUCUCUAAUUUCUUGAUGCAGAAAAAGGAAUUCUGAAAAUAGAAGUCUUUUCUUGAAUAGAGUGAUUCUAUAUCCCAUUGCUUUUUCUUUA